rnacentral:rRNA from 1 species
AGAGUUUGAUCCUGGCUCAGGAUGAACGCUAGCUACAGGCUUAACACAUGCAAGUCGAGGGGCAGCAUUGGAGUAGCAAUACUCAGAUGGCGACCGGCGCACGGGUGAGUAACACGUAUCCAACCUGCCGCUUACUCGGGGAUAGCCUUUCGAAAGAAAGAUUAAUACCCGAUGGUAUAAAGAGUUCGCAUGUUCUCUUUAUUAAAGAAUUUCGGUAAGCGAUGGGGAUGCGUUCCAUUAGAUAGUUGGCGGGGUAACGGCCCACCAAGUCUACGAUGGAUAGGGGUUCUGAGAGGAAGGUCCCCCACAUUGGAACUGAGACACGGUCCAAACUCCUACGGGAGGCAGCAGUGAGGAAUAUUGGUCAAUGGACGAGAGUCUGAACCAGCCCAAGUAGCGUGAAGGAUGACUGCCCUAUGGGUUGUAAACUUCUUUUAUAAGGGAAUAAAGUGAGGGACGUGUCCCUUUUGUAUGUACCUUAUGAAUAAGGAUCGGCUAACUCCGUGCCAGCCGCCGC